rnacentral:rRNA from 1 species
CAGUCGCCACGGUAAUACGGAGGGAGCUAGCGUUGUUUGGAAUUACUGGGCGUAAAGCGCGCGUAGGCGGUUACUCAAGUCAGAGGUGAAAGCCCGGGGCUCAACCCCGGAACUGCCUUUGAAACUAGGUGACUAGAAUCUUGGGGAGGUCAGUGGAAUUCCGAGUGUAGAGGUGAAAUUCGUAGAUAUUCGGAAGAACACCAGUGGCGAAGGCGACUGACUGGACAAGUAUUGACGCUGAGGUGCGAAAGCGUGGGGAGCAAACAGGAUUAGAUACCCGAGUAGUCCCUGUCUCUUAUAC